rnacentral:rRNA from 1 species
UACGAAGGGUGCAACCGUUGCUCGGAAUUAUUGGGCGUAAAGCGCACGUAGGCGGCUCUGUAAGUUGGAUGUGAAAUCCCUCGGCUCAACCAAGGAAGUGCAUCCAAAACUACAGAGCUUGAGUACUUAAGAGGAUCGCGGAAUUCCCGGUGUAGAGGUGAAAUUCGUAGAUAUCGGGAGGAACACCAGUGGCGAAGGCGGCGAUCUGGGAAGAUACUGACGCUGAGGUGCGAAAGCGUGGGGAGCAAACAGG